rnacentral:lncRNA from 1 species
CACAGCCCUGUGUAAAUCACUCCAGAUUGCCCUGAGACACACUGAGAGCCUUCACCAUGGGCUGGCCAGGCUCUGCUCUCUGCUCCUGGAGGCUGAGAUGCUGCAUUAAUGAGUAUGACAGAAGAGAAUAAGGAGACAGCAGGUGAAUGUGCCCCUGGCAGUGGUGUGUGGUUGAUUCACACCAUUUCUGAGCCCUGAGCAGAGGUGCUUUUCAUUCCACAAAUCCCUGCAGCGUGAUUAGUUUGCCUAAUACGUGCCCUGCUUUUUCUCAGGGCAGGAUACAAAUCCUGGUGCUCCCAUUGGUUGGCAGCAUCAAGGAGGCAGCGAGAUUUGUGUGACCACCCUGAGAUGGUUUCUCUGUUACUGCAGAGGGUUUCACACCUUGCUCCUGGCACUGCCCAGGGCAGACUUUGCUCUCUGCACUGUGCUGUGAAAUGGGGUAGUGAGGAGAAGCGGAGAAGGGGAAAUGAAAGAAGGAAAAUCUUGAAAUCACUAUGAAGUUAAAGAUUGGUGUCAGGAAGGAGAUGGAUGCAUGGAGGACAGAGAAAGAAAGAAUUAUUGAAACAUUAUAAAGAAACAUAAACUGGAAAAACUUCUAUCCAUGGCACAAAAGAAAAGUGCUCUCAGGCCUGUCCUGUGGUUCACCUCAUCUCCUGUUUGGCCAUACGGGGAAGGCAGUGAGUCUCCUGCACAGUCAUAGCUCUGAACACCAGGACAAGGGAGCAGCAGGUGAGAUUUGCAGGUUCAGGCUGCAGAUCUGGCUGCACAUUGGAAGGGGCUUUGGAGGACAUUUGCUGUUUCUGAGGCCAUCAACGAUCACGUUCCUCCAGUUUCCUUCUGGUUUCUGCUCUUUCUUGGGGUUAAUAUUGCAGUAGGGAAGAAUAAAAGGCCCUUUCUAUCUUCA